AUUAUGCUCCAUGGGUCUCAUUUUAACCCCAACUUUAAUUAUCUAUUUUAUUUAACUUUUUUUAUUGUUAUUUUUUAUUUUUAUUGUCCUAACUAUAUGCGUGACUUAUGAUUUUUAGUUUUUUCAUAAAUUUUUCAAAUAAAACAGACGAUUAAAGUUGGAUAUGGAAACUCAUGGUUACGUUUAAA
rnacentral:pre_miRNA from 1 species